UUGUGCCUUGCGUUUUUUAAUCUCGUCUUUUUCGCUUUCUGUUUCAGAAAUCAAGACGGUUCUUUAUUACGUCACUCGCGACGUCACAUGCAAUAUCUCGGUUCAUAUUUGCUGCGUUCCGUUACGUCACAACUCGUCACACGCGUUUUUUUACCAUUCACGUCCAUGUUAUGUCACAAGUUUCGUUACGUCAUAGCAGAACAAUACGCGUCUGUUUUAUACGUGCGUUCCGCGACGAUUUUUUUUUCAUGGGGCCCCAUACGCGUUUUACGUCGAUGCAAGGCAUAUUACUUGUAUAUUCUAACCAUAUUUGCGCUAUUAGUGCGAAGCAAGAAAAUCAAGAAUUGGUAAAGUAUAAAUCACAAUUGGCAUUAUUACGUACAUAAGCCCUUUUCCAGAAUAAUCGACCGAUGAUGUGACGUCACGAAGUGGUGAUGACGCAACAGAAGAACCCACUUCAACAUGGUAUGUGACGUCACAGAGAAUCAAGCGGACCAUGGAACGAAGAAAGAAUGAAGAGUGGUCAGCGAAUAAAGCUGCAGAAGACAGUCGUAAGACGAAGACGCCAGUUAAGGAUACACGGUUUGAAGUUAUGAGGUUUAUAGUAUUGAGUUGUGUGUCUUGUCUGCGCUGCUGUUAUUCUGCUGGACCUAAUGUUGCUAGCGAUUUUGGUCAGUCACUAUUAUAGUGCAUUUUACAUUUCACUGAAAUAUCUGCAAUGAAAACUAUGGCAAACAUCUUGCUGGAUCGGAUUUUGUUGUUGUACACGUCAUUAUAUGUUUCUUCUGCAAAGGUCGAUUCUUUUAACGUUUUGCAUUGUCCUAAUCACUUGAUAAGAACGACAUGUUGGUACACAAAUACUUGAGUAAUAUCCACGCGCAUUCUAAUAUACACGCUUUUAACUUUUAGAUUUAAUGCCCCUUAUUUUUCAUUAAUUGAAUGUCCCCGUUAACCUAUUGUUAGUUUAUACAAAAGCCUAAUUGUGACGCUGGCCACGUUGCAAUUACGCUAUACGUCGAUGGGCCUUAAAGGCCCAGCGUUUGGUGCGGUUACGUCACGGUUCAAGACUGAGUAACGUUACUGUUGGGUUGUUGCGUGGACGUCGCCGCCAGUGACGCUACGCUCGGUUAUUUAGGUCACUGUAAAUGCGGUUCGUAACAACCUGACGCAGUUUCGUAACGGUCAAAGCGGUGCUUAACAUCCAAACGAUAUUAUAUUGCGUGGAGAUGCGACGAGAGUAUCGCGGUACCAACAUGGCGACUUACCUUUUGAUUGGGACAUGCGGAGAUGUUAUUGGCUUCGACUCUUGUGGUCGGACAUUUAAUAAUUUGUACACUGCAGAAGAUUAUCCUUUAGGAUUUGAACCAUAUUUUCUUUGAAAAUGUUCCUAUGAUUAUGUCCGCGUUAAUUAACUUUUUAUAACCGUUCCAUUUUUGGUGAUGAUUGAGCUGUUGUGUGUGUUGCAUGUUUCACUUUUUGUAUUUGCACUUCGUUGUAUCAUUUUUGUCUUUUUGUCGCUGUUGUCGUGCACAUGUGUAUGUGCAUUCGUUGUAUCGUUUUUGUCUAUGGGGCUUCUUUAACCUGCGUGGACAGUAACAUCCCGCAAGGGUUUCUCACCUAAGCAGAAACCCACUACCAUUGGCUGGGGGCUUGUCGUGCCGUAGUGGCUUUCCACCAACGCCAGCCAAAUCAACUUUUUGAAUGUAUUUUAAUCUGGUUACUAUUUUUCAGAAGAAUCUUCAAUAUGUCCCCCGUUUAUUCUGUUUUGUACAAUUAUUUCGUGCUGUUGCAAAAUAAAAUAUUAAAGCAACAUAA